rnacentral:rRNA from 1 species
GUACGGGGGGAGCAAGCGUUGUUCGGAUUUACUGGGCGUAAAGGGCUCGUAGGCGGCCAACUAAGUCAGACCGUGAAAUCCCUCGGGCUUAACCGGGGAACUGCGUCUGAUACUGGAUGGCUUGAGUUUGGGAGAGGGAUGCGGAAUUCCAGGUGUAGCGGUGAAAUGGCGCAGAUAUCGGGAGGAACACCAAUGGCGAAGGCAGCUCGCUGGGACGUUACUGACGCUGAGACGGCGAAAGCGUGGGGAGCAAACAGG